CGGACGUUUCGGGAGCCCGACGUUUCGGGACCCGGAUGUUUCGGGACUAGACAACACGUUUCGGGACUUCGAUUAACAUGUUUCGGGACUUCAGAAACUGUAUCCAUGCACUCUGUGGUAUAUGAAAGUUGUAUGAAACGUCAUUUUCAUUAGCCGGGUCAUUUGAUUGUCAGCACGUCGCCGGGUAUACCCAGUUCGAGUCGGCCGGAUUUUUCAGAAUCAAUAGGAUUUUCCAAGCACCGGGCGCAAACCCACUGAAGGUCUUCUUGCAGUUUCCCUAUUCGUCUAUACUGGUCACGGCUGAUUCCUGUCAUAUUAUUAAAAUUUGUGUUCCAUUACAUUGUUCAUUUGAUGGAAUUUUUUAAUCAUUACUAUACAACUGCUUUCCAUUCUUAUUUUUCAUUAAGUAAAAGAAUAAAAUCA